AGCAGGGUUGGGGGGCAGGGGCUGUGAGUCGGGAGUGCGGGGCACUGGCAGGGGACCACCAAGGUCCCAGCAGGAGACAAGACUCUCCCCUGGGACCCGCCUCCCCCUCCAGUUCAGGGAAGCUCACAGCUCUGGGGAACUUUGCAGGGUGCCCACCUAGGGGACUACCAAGAUCGCAGCAGGAAACCAGACCCUCCCUUCCUCCCUGCCCCCCUCUCCCCCAGUUCAGGGCACUGCUGGGGGAAACUCGCAGCCCUGGGACACUUUUGAGGGGAAGCUCACAGCCUCAGGGCACUGCAGGGGGAAGCUCACAGCCACAGACAUCCUUGAGGUCCUCGUAGCAGAGGAAGAGCACGGGGUGCGCCACCUGCACCUGCCGCCCGCCCCCCACGCGCUCGCGCCACAAACCCCAGGCCACUGCAGGGACACAAGAGGCCUGGACAGGGCUGAGAGGAGCAACAGGUGGUGACUCCACCCCUUCUGCCCUGGCAGAAACCCGGGUUCUCCAACCAGCAGUACGCUGACCAGCUCUGUGCAGGAGAUGGCCACCUAGUACUUGCAGUGCAACUUCAACCUGCUCUACCAGGAUGCUCGGAAGUGCCUCGGGUGCUUCGGUCUUAAGAGCCAUGCCCACAUCCUCCAGAUCUGCAAAUUGUCAGUGGUCUUCAUCAUCAGCCACAACACAUGAGUGAUCACGGAGACCAGCUGCCAGCUGUGGGGGUGACGGAGCGGUCCAUCAACCAGAUCAACAGCGACUUCGCCUACAAGCGGGAGGUGCUGGAGGCCUUGGGUGAGGUCAUCAUUAACCAGCCUUGGGAGUGACCUUGCUCUGGGGAGGCUCCUCCAGGACGUGCCCAUCCCUUCUCGGAGACCUGCCUUCACAGCUCCACAUCCACCCACACCCAAAGGAGUCUGUGCAGGGGCGGGGCCACGGGCAUGGUUGCCAGCUGGAUUUUGAAGUGGGGGGCAGGGUCUAAUGCAAGAGGUGUUAUUUUUAGAGCUGCUCUUCUACACCCGCUCCUUUCCCAGGAGAGAGAGAGUUAAUUUAUAUGAAUGGGAGGGAGGGGUUUGUACUGGCGUGGUCUAUUGUAGGCAGGAGUGGGAACUAUCUUUGGCCCAUUGCUGGGUUCCCUGCCCCCCAGUCUGGCUUGAGCCUUGUUCUGCUUCCACCCAAGAAAAGGAAAAGUGGCUCAUGAUGGCUUUUAUUCUGAAGGGGUAGGGGUGGGGGCUUCACAGUAUUGGCAGGAGGAACACAUGUGAGUUUGCAGUGGACAGACAGACUGGGCUAUGUAAUGGGCAUGGAGAGAGCUUCCCUAUAAGACUGCUAUUAAAGCCCCUCUCAGUCUUCUCUUCUGCAGACUAAAUAAGGCCAGUUCCCUCAGCCUCCCUCCUCAUCAGCACAGAUCCAGGUUGUCUGUUCGCCAUGGAAAAAUGGGGUGAAACCCAGAUUGUCUCGUUUUAAAAAGAAAAAGGCUGGAAAUGGUGGGGUUCCUCUUGCAGGCUGGCAGAGUUCCAGCCUGCGAGAGACUAGAGGGUGUGGGAAGAGGACCAUCAGGUAGGGGAUGCCACGUGUGUGAACACAUGUGCAUGUGGCAUCCAGGCAGCCUGGAGAACACCUCCUGCAGCUCCCCGCAGGUAAGCCUUGCGCAGGGGGAGAAAUUGAGGCCCCCAUAGUGUCAGAGGGAGUUGGGCAGGGCUGGGGGUGCUGCCCAGCCGGGGUGGUGUGUGGGGCCCAGUGCUGGGGUGGUCGCCAGGCCCAGGUGAGAGCGGGAUGGAGCCCCAGGGGGUGGCAGUGGAGCUGAUUCCCUGCUGCUGAAUGCGCUGCUGGGGAGGACAUGGUGGGCACGUGCCCUCCAGAUUUGUGUGUAGGGUUGGGACAGAUGCAGGCUGGCAGCUGCCUCCCCACCUUGCUGCCCCCUCCCAGGGCAUGAUAGACCAGAGCAGGGCAGGGAGGCUCGGUGUCACCGCCAGGAGCCCCGUGUUGCCCGGUGAGGCACCCCCUGCCCAUGCAGCAGCAGUGGAGGUGGUGGAACAGAGUUGUGUCCCACACUGCUGCUGGGCAGGCAGGGGCUGCCUCUCCAUGGUGGCAUGGGGCUCCCGGCAGUGGCACUGCGCCUCCCUGCCCCACUCUGUCUGUCAUGCUGGGACCUGCUGGCUGGGCAAAGGGCUCCAGAGGGAGGGCAGCAGAGUGGGGAGCUCCAAGCCCAUAGCAGCCAGACUACAUCUGCCCCCUGCCUGCCACUGUAGGGCUUUGGCAGAGGUAGAGCUAUCCCACACCAUGCCUCUGUGGCACCAGGGGACUCUCCUGGACACCCUGACCAUGUGCAUUGCCCCUGCACCCUUUGGCACCACACAGCCCAUUGGGCUUUCCAGUGGGGGUGCGCACCAGGGCUUCAUGCCUCGUCUGUCAGCUUUGUUGGGGUGCUGGUUUUAGGUGACCCCACUGGUCACUCAGGCAGGUCCUGCAGUGCCAGGACAGCACUCCUGAUACAGAGCAGAGAAGCAGACCAUGGUACUGUUUCCUCAUCUCUCUGGGCACAACCGUGUUGACCCAGGAAUGAUGCAGGUGCGCAUCAGGGUAUUAAAUCAUCUGUGCAUUUGAAGUGCUGUGUUAUCAAUGCAAAGUACAGUACAUUGUAGUCAAAUUGGUGAAUGUGAGAAUGAACCUUGGGUUAUUUAUUGUUGGUUGUUAGCUGACAUUAUUAGCUUAUUUAUGCGUUUUCCUUUUCGUGUCAUUUAUAAAUUGGUGCCUAUAAUUUA